CUGCGUAAUCAGAAUGCCAUUUAACUUCAUUGACGAAGUUUUAUGUUCAACUCCUUUAUAUGAUCUCUUUAGUUGAAUUGUAUAUUGAACUCAAUAAUGUUUGUUGUUGCAUAAUAACACUAGCACUUUCUUUAAUAUUUAAGAACACUUAACAAGUGCCCGAAAAUGAAAUACAAAUUAUUAGUUUUAUACAAUAAAGAGUAUAUUU
rnacentral:misc_RNA from 1 species